AAUCCAUAGGUUAAUGAGGCGAACCGGGGGAACUGAAACAUCUAAGUACCCCGAGGAAAAGAAAUCAACCGAGAUUCCCCCAGUAGCGGCGAGCGAACGGGGAGGAGCCCAGAGCCUGAAUCAGCAUGUGUGUUAGUGGAAGCGUCUGGAAAGGCGCGCGAUACAGGGUGACAGCCCCGUACACAAAAGCGCAUGUGCUGUGAGCUCGAUGAGUAGGGCGGGACACGUGGUAUCCUGUCUGAAUAUGGGGGGACCAUCCUCCAAGGCUAAAUACUCCUGACUGACCGAUAGUGAACCAGUACCGUGAGGGAAAGGCGAAAAGAACCCCGGCGAGGGGAGUGAAAAAGAACCUGAAACCGUGUACGUACAAGCAGUGGGAGCACCCUUUGGGUGUGACUGCGUACCUUUUGUAUAAUGGGUCAGCGACUUAUAUUCUGUAGCAAGGUUAACCGAAUAGGGGAGCCGGAGGGAAACCGAGUCUUAACCGGGCGUUAAGUUGCAGGGUAUAGACCCGAAACCCGGUGAUCUAGCCAUGGGCAGGUUGAAGGUUGGGUAACACUAACUGGAGGACCGAACCGACUAAUGUUGAAAAAUUAGCGGAUGACCUGUGGCUGGGGGUGAAAGGCCAAUCAAACCGGGAGAUAGCUGGUUCUCCCCGAAAGCUAUUUAGGUAGCGCCUCGUGAAUUCAUCUCCGGGGGUAGAGCACUGUUUCGGCUAGGGGGCCAUCCCGGCUUACCAACCCGAUGCAAACUGCGAAUACCGGAGAAUGUUAUCACGGGAGACACACGGCGGGUGCUAACGUCCGUCGUGAAGAGGGAAACAACCCAGACCGCCAGCUAAGGUCCCAAAGUCAUGGUUAAGUGGGAAACGAUGUGGGAAGGCCCAGACAGCCAGGAUGUUGGCUUAGAAGCAGCCAUCAUUUAAAGAAAGCGUAAUAGCUCACUGGUCGAGUCGGCCUGCGCGGAAGAUGUAACGGGGCUAAACCAUGCACCGAAGCUGCGGCAGCG
rnacentral:rRNA from 4 species